UAUAUGCGAUCAAAUUAAACUUUUGUGUACAACUACAACCCAUGAGAAGAGCAUUCCAUACAUAUUGUUCAGCAAUUUGGUUGUCACUAAGUCACUGCUACAAUUAACUAUACAUAGAUAGGCUGAUCUUCUUAAUAUUCUAAUUUUCUUUCUUCCAUUUCUUCAUAAAAUCCUGAUCAGAUAGCUAUAAGCCAGAUUAAGUGAUUUGUCUAGAAUUUCAACUACAAUAUCAUGCCAAUGAGUAGGAAGUGUUCUCAUUAGAUGAUAUAUUUUCUCAGCCUCACAUAUAUACUUUUCCAAAUGUGUUACUUCAAGACGCAUUGCUUCAAGAUGUUUUAUAUAUGGUAACAUGUUAGGUCGUUAAUCCAUUUCAUAGUUUCGAUAUCUAUGUAACUUUUCAACACGUUCCACAACUCAUUCUUUUCUACUUUUCCCUAUAAGAAUGCUAAAAAUGUACACAGAUCCAGUCAUAUCUGUUAAAAAAAAAAAAAAAAAUUGUACACAGAUCCAGUCAUAUCUGUUAAAAUAUAUAUAUAACAGUGAAUCAUAUAAGCCAAUCAAAACUUACACCACUCAUGAAUGUGGAAAAAUAUGGUAUUUUGAAUACUUUUAAAGUAUUUUUCAAUUUCUAAAAAAUGAGAGCAUCUCAAAAAUUAACUGCCACUAUGAAAAUACUACUUAAUAAAUAUUUUUUAUUUUAUUAAAAAAAUCAGAAUUUAAUCAACUUGGAAAAAAAAAGUAUUUUUACAAAUUUCAUUUAAUCAUUAAAUAAAAAAAAAUUAACUGUCUAAAAAUUAAUUUAAGUGUAUAGAAUAUUUUAGGAAUCAAACUGUAAUUUUUAGAAAUACAAACGAUUCCACAUGAGCCCCCAACGUGCUGAUCAAAGUUUUUAAAUUUUUUAAACUUUUUAAUUAAAAAAAAUAAAAAUAGGGCGCAAUCAGGUACACCUCCGCGUGCAAACAUUCAAAAAACUUGUUUGGCCCAUUUAGUUAAUUUUGAUAAUCUGAAUUCAUGAUUUUACAACAGCAAUAUCUAAAGCCAUGUUUGGAACACCAACAACUUGGUUUGAGGGUGGGAAGGAAUUUUUUUAUGUUUUCUGUUCAUCUUCUAGUGUAGAAUUUUCAAAAAUUCAACCAAACUUCGAUAGACCAUAACUUCUUCAUUUCAAUGCCAAAAGUAAUCAUCUUUGUAUCAUUUGAAAACACAAAACGUAACGUACAGUAAACUUAGGGUUGACCCCGGGCCAAAGUCACUAGGCCACCCUUCUUCAGAAUUUGAACUUCUGCAAUCUUCAAUUUUCAAUUUUCCAAGCUUUUGAAUUCGUAAAGAGGCAAACCAUAAUUUUUCCGUAAAACUGAUUUGAACUUCAAUCAAAUUCCAUUUUUUUCUAUAUGUUAUCCUAUUACCAUCUGCACAAUUAGAGAUACAACCACAUCCUAUAGGUUACUCGGCCUUAGUUUCAAUCUCGAAGUAGCCGUUCAUACCACCCAUGACAAAGGCCUCAUAAUAAUUAGUCGAUUAGAGUCUUAAAAUUUUCAGGAUCGACCUUGAAUAAGCUAUCAUGUUAUGAAAGUUUGGGUUCUUUAACUAGGGUUCCAUUUUUCUUCCUUCCAGAAUACAGAGCUCAACAAUAUGAAACUUUGCAAACAUGUUAUAUAUGUUAACAUGAACAUAUAGUAUAAAUUUAUAGAACAUAUAUGAGGUAUAUCAUAACUUGCCAUGAAAUGUGUUCAAACUUUGAAGGAAAAAUGACAUACAUGCAUUUUCAUCACAUUAAACCAUUUUUUAGCAUGUCACAGAGCAAGAAAACAACCUACUUAGAUGCUGAUAUCAAUGUAAAAAACUACUUAGCAUGCUUCUAAUUGAGUUUGGAGUCUUAGAACUUACUUGAAAUUCCGACGAAUGAAAGGUUGAAUUACUUGCCAUUGGUUUAUUCACUUACUGCUCUUUGGCUAUAGACUCGAUCACGAUGGAAAGAGUUUGAUAUUCACAAUCCAAGAAUCAAUUUUGAGAUGGUAAUCUUGCAAAAUCUAGUCAAUACACUAAGGCCCUAUUUGAUAGACAUUUCUUUUCCAUGAAAAAUGGAAAUUAAAUUUCAUUUCCCACUUUUUAACUUGUUUGAUGGUAGAAUUUUUUUAUGAAAAUGAUUUUCUACAAAUCUUUGCCACAUCAGAUUUUUUUAGCUUUUCCAAGUUUUUGCUUCUUUUUUUUUUUUUUAUGCAAUUGAAACAAAUUCUAGGAACAAUUGUAAACGAGGAUAUCGCUUAAAUUGAAAAUUUUCAUUUAAAACAAAGCCAAACGAAUACCGAAAGGUAGAUGAUUUUUGGAUUUCUUCGGGGUUUUUUUUUUUUUUUUUUUGACGCAAUGGAAAAAAAUUUUAGGAACAAUUGCAAAAGUGGAUUAAAUUGAAAAUUUUCAUUUAAAACAAAGCCAAACGAAUACCGAAAGGUAGAUGAUUUUUGGAUUUCUUCGGGGUUUUUUUUUUUUUUUUUUGACGCAAUGGAAACAAAUUUUAGGAACAAUUGCAAAAGUGGAUUAAAUUGACAAUUUUCAUGAAAAAUAAAAUCAAAUAAACACCAAAAAAUACUUUUAUUUCAACAUUUUUCAGGUGAAAAAUUAAACAAAUCAAACACUAUUAAUUGACAAUUCUCAGUAAAACAAUUUUUAGACAACUUAAUUUCUUGAAAUUUGUUUUAUUUCCACCCAAAUUCCAUAUUUGCAAUCAAACGUACCCUAAUGUAUUUUCACUCCCUUCUCUAUAUCUAAAUUUUGCAUUUUCUUCUUUUAUGGUUUCGGUAUAGUGAGAGUUACAUGGAAGUUAUAGGUGGUGGGAGAUUAAAUUUCAACUCCUCCCUCCAAAUUCAUUCCAGGCAAUUUGGGUCUCGUUAGCCCGUUUCAUACCAACACUUUCCCAAAUAACAAUGGUCUGAAUCCAUAUUCAUACUACUCAAAUGGUAAUUAAACCACCUGAGAUUCAGCUAAGAUGGGCCUGACCAAAUUAAUGGUGGGCAAAUUACACAAAUACACUAAAAAGUAGGGACUUUUUAAAAAAUCAUAAUAAAAAAAGGUUUAGAAUUAACAAAUCGUAUUAAUUAAGUAUUAAGCUAAAAAUUGAUACUUUUAAACUCGCUGCAUGCUAUUCUUCUUCGAAUCUCCUUUCAAGUCCAAUAUUAGUUUUCAAGCAGGUUCUUAAAUUUUGACAAAAUUCAUAAGUUGCCCAUCUAUUUUCCAGUAGUAUAAUAAUUUUUUCUUUAUAAUUUUAAUUAACCAGAUAAUAAGUUUUCAAGUGGAAAUUUUUAGAUUUUCAGUAAUAAUUUCAUCUCCUAUUCAACUUCAUUAUCCAAUCGCUUUACAAGUUUAGUUUUCCAAAUAAUUACCAACACAAACUACUUUACAAAAUCUAUUGCAAUUUUAUUAUGAAUUUGAGAUUUUUGAGGUUUUUGCUUGUGUUAGUAUACAUGAAAGUUCAUCUUUGGAUCAAUGGUGGUUAGUAUAUAAGUAAUUUCAAUUUUGGAUCAAUUAGGGAGAUGUAUGCAACUUAUUUGUGAAAAUUUAAAUAUUAAUAGGAAUUAAGAUUUUGUAUUAGAAAGCGAUAUAUUCAGCCAACUUUUUUAAGGAAGUCGCAUACUAUUUAAUUUGAAUUCUUUUUGGAUUAAUUAAAAAGAUGCAUACAAUUUGUUUGUGAAAAUGUAAAUAUAAUAUGAAUUCAAACUUUGCUUUCCAUUAAAAUUAACAUGAUGUAACAAUUUAUUUGUCUUCCAUAUGAGAAUUUUGCUAUUUGUAACUCCCCUCACAAUGUGUGUGUGUGUGUGUGUGUGUGUGUGUGUG
rnacentral:lncRNA from 1 species